rnacentral:rRNA from 1 species
GUGGGGAAUAUUGCACAAUGGGGGAAACCCUGAUGCAGCGACGCCGCGUGAGUGAAGAAGUAUUUCGGUAUGUAAAGCUCUAUCAGCAGGGAAGAAGAAAGACGGUACCUGACUAAGAAGCCCCGGCUAACUACGUGCCAGCAGCCGCGGUAAUACGUAGGGGGCAAGCGUUAUCCGGAUUUACUGGGUGUAAAGGGAGCGUAGACGGCUGUGCAAGUCUGAAGUGAAAGCCCAGGGCUCAACCCUGGGACUGCUUUGGAAACUGUGGAGCUAGAGUGCUGGAGAGGUAAGUGGAAUUCCUAGUGUAGCGGUGAAAUGCGUAGAUAUUAGGAGGAACACCAGUGGCGAAGGCGGCUUACUGGACAGUAACUGACGUUGAGGCUCGAAAGCGUGGGGAGCAAACAGG